AACUAUUUGGCUGAUAGGAAAGCAAGUGUUUUGAAAACACUCUAUAGAAGUUCGAAUCUUCUAAUAGUUU
rnacentral:tRNA from 1 species